rnacentral:rRNA from 2 species
CGUAUCACCCAAGACAACUUUACGGAGUUGACGAUUGACGGAGCGAAGCGACGUCAAAGCGUUCAUUAAAGUCGAGUUGGCUUAGGGAUACGUUCGUUGGGUAGGGGAGCGUUCUGUAAGCCUGUGAAGGUGUGUCGUGAGGCAUGCUGGAGGUAUCAGAAGUGCGAAUGCUGACAUAAGUAACGAUAAAGCGGGUGAAAAGCCCGCUCGCCGGAAGACCAAGGGUUCCUGUCCAACGUUAAUCGGGGCAGGGUGAGUCGACCCCUAAGGCGAGGCCGAAAGGCGUAGUCGAUGGGAAACGGGUUAAUAUUCCCGUACUUGGUGUUACUGCGAAGGGGGGACGGAGAAGGCUAUGUUGGCCGGGCGACGGUUGUCCCGGUUUAAGCGUGUAGGUGUGUGUUCCAGGUAAAUCCGGUUCACUUUAACACUGAGGCGUGACGACGAGGCACUACGGUGCUGA